AUUGAACGCUGGCGGCAGGCCUAACACAUGCAAGUCGAGCGGAUGAAGGGAGCUUGCUCCUGGAUUCAGCGGCGGACGGGUGAGUAAUGCCUAGGAAUCUGCCUGGUAGUGGGGGAUAACGUCCGGAAACGGGCGCUAAUACCGCAUACGUCCUGAGGGAGAAAGUGGGGGAUCUUCGGACCUCACGCUAUCAGAUGAGCCUAGGUCGGAUUAGCUAGUUGGUGGGGUAAAGGCCUACCAAGGCGACGAUCCGUAACUGGCCUGAGAGGAUGAUCAGUCACACUGGAACUGAGACACGGUCCAGACUCCUACGGGAGGCAGCAGUGGGGAAUAUUGGACAAUGGGCGAAAGCCUGAUCCAGCCAUGCCGCGUGUGUGAAGAAGGUCUUCGGAUUGUAAAGCACUUUAAGCUGGGAGGAAGGGCAGUAAGUUAAUACCUUGCUGUUUUGACGUUACCAACAGAAUAAGCACCGGCUAACUUCGUG
rnacentral:rRNA from 1 species